UGCAUAUUCUUGUUUGGCUUCAUGAAGCCCUAACUGGAUCCCACUGUGUGGUCAGUUGUAUCUUCUAUAUUUGGCUUUGUCCUUGUCAUUUUAAUUGUGGAUUAUCACAUAAUAAGAGCUAGAUGUUAUUAACUCAGUAGGCUCAAAUAUACUCAGUAGCAGCAGGCCUUUGCCAGGCUGUGAAGGCACUUACCGUACUACCUCAAGGCAGGAAAGGUUAGUUGCCUGGGAUACCUGAUUGUUUCAUGCCCUGAAUGGAGUUUGGAUGGAAUGUGAGGGAGUGACCCUAUUGGUUUCCUGUGGCAUAUGUCACACUAGACUUUCACAGGAAAGACCCAGCAGUCUCACCUGUCUUCCCCAGGUCCUGCAACUGUGCUUUAUCAGGAGCUCUCACUUCUGGCUGCUGCUCACCUUUAACAAGCUUCUAAGUUGGGAAGAACAGACAGUCCUUACCUGGACCAGUCAGUCACAUGUUGGAGGUCACACUGUAAAGAAAAGUGUACAGAAUCUGUUUCACCACUCCCCUUGCCUCAUAGCUAUCUGGGUGAGACCAAUACCAGCAGGCAUGGUAGGAAACCACGGAAGAAAAGCAAAGCCCUGUCCAUCUACACCACCUGUCCUGAGAAAUGUGACUACACUCGCAUCUGCCCGGCCCAUUCAGAGAAGCACAACCACACUAUCUCUGCCUCCAAAUUCCUCAAGGCAGCAAACUCCUCUCCUCCCCUUGAAAUCCUUUGUUCUACCCUCACUCGAUGAACUCAGCCUGCCUCCAUGGGAGUAAUUAAACAGCCAU
rnacentral:lncRNA from 1 species